rnacentral:tRNA from 3 species
GCUGGCGUAGCUCAGUUGGCCAGAGCAGCCGCCUUGUAAGCGGCAGGUCAUGGGUUCGAGUCCCAUCGCCAGCUCCA